CUAACCCAUAGCAAAGCAAAAUUGAAGAUGAGAUCUCCUUUAUGUCACAUUUACAUCUCCUAGAUAUAAAUGAGCACUAAUUGAGACCAAAGUGGUUUUCUCAUUCUUCUCAAAUGUCUCUCCUGAGAAUUAAGUCUCACAUUGAGCACAGUGCAAGUUCUCUAAAUUCUCUCACAGCUGUCUCUUUUCCUGAUCUCAACUAAGAGAAAAAUGAGACAUACAAUGCAGCUUUCAAAUAUGUCUCAAUUUGAUCUCAAUUAUAUCUCAGUGAGAAAUAUGUCUCGUACUGCUCACUAUUUGAGUUCUCAGAUUCUCUUACAGUUGUCUCUUUCUAGUGUUUCAGCAAAAAGAAAAAAUAGAGUAGUGUUAGCUCUCAAAUUAGUCUCAAUAUGAGACAUUAUUUAAUAUUAUAGCUCAAUCAUAUCUCAAUUUAUCUCAGCGCAAAAUUUAAGAAAAGAAGUAUAUCAAUUCAGGCAAAUAAUUUGAGAUGGUUUACAUAAUGUUCAACUUACAAAAGGUGUUUAUUUCUGACAAGCCAUACAAUUCAUUAAUUAGAAUUUUGAGUUCUAAAACGUAACCCAUCAAAACAUAAGCCAUGAUUUGCUCAAAAGACACCUUUGUGAACUUUCUAAAUGUUGACAAUUGUGCUGUUUUAAAAGAAUUCACAGCAAAGCUCUAUUGUAUAGAGCAGUAAAAGAGUGUGUAACACGUUACUCCAAGAAUCCUACCUCAUGUGUGAUGAAAGAGUCCGUUAUGACUAUUACUAUUAACGUUGCACGCGCGGGAGACGUGGUAGCGCCAAGACCCGCCCUACGAAGCAGCUCAUUGCAUGGCUCACGAUUGAUUAGACUUUUCACCUCGAGUGGUUAAGGUUAGGAUAGCGGAUUGGUCAGGGGAUAGGACCUGAACAAAUAAAAAUGUUGUUAUCUAGAAUACAGGGCUUUUAAAAAGAAUGUAAUAGUAUAAAGGAAAUAUAAUCUGUGGGUAUACUCCAGUCCAGCGGUGGCGGUAAUACAACAACAAGUUAUCAACCGCCAGAUAAAAAUAGAAGAAGAAGAAGAAGAAGAAGAUUGGAGGGCGGGUCUUGGCGCCAAUUCGUAAUUUCGUUGGGGUGAGAGAAGUGCGUCGGUAACUGCUGCUGCACCUGUUGGCUUUUGCCCCUGCCACGAAGAGUGCUGGCAAAAAAGAGGCUACGGGUUCCCACUCAGAAAAUUGAAGGACCUGAGCUCCCCUCCCCCAAAUGAGCAAUCUGGUAAGUAUUAACGUAAUAGUUUGUUAUAUACGGGGGUAAUAAUCAUAACAUUAAUAAUGUCUAAAAAUACCAGUCUAAAUUGUUGUGGCCAAAUAGAAAUUCAUUUCCAUCGGUGAAUCCAUCACCUGACGGGGGACAUGCAACAGGCCGCAACACAGCUGGACCACCACCCUAUGGGUAGGUUUGUCAUAAUAAUUACAUAAUCGCCUGGGCCCAUGAGUUCAACACUUUUUAUCCUUAUCCGAUCAGAUUUGGCAAAGUUCAAAACCAAAGAAAAACAUCAUUAGGAUAACUUUGUUAUCCAAUCUAUGAUAAUAGAAUAGGCUCUAUGCACAGCUCCACUACUUCCUGAACUUAAGGCUGGUCUUUUAUUUCCUGCCUUACAUUAUUGGACAAACUGAUUAAUCCACGUGUGUCUGACCAUUGUGACUCAGACACACGUGGAUUAAUCAGUUGUCCAAUAAUGUAAGACAGGAAACCAAGGAGCUGCCUUAAAUUCAGGAAGUAGUGGAGCUGUGUGUAGACCCCAUUACUGUAUUUGAGUAAAUAGUAUGUGAAUGACUCUUGGCCCUGAUGAAAAUGAUUUGCUAUUAUUUUUGCUUAAUGAUCAGAAUUGUUUACGUUCAUCUUUUUACGAGCUCACUUCCCUUUCAGAUACAGGCCGGGUCAGAGAGCUUCAGACUCUCUGCGACUUAAUUGGAGAGAGAUCUGGUGGCAGCCUAGCUUCACCAUCAAGCCAGCAGGAGCUGUUUCCUGGGAGCGGCCAAUUCAUCUCAUCAUUCCGCCUGGCUGCCAUGAAUCACGCAUCAAAACCAAAUUGCAUGCGUCUGUUUCAUGCACUUUUUGAUAAUUUCUUCACUGUUGAGGAGUGUCAAAAUGCAGUGCCCUUUGGUCACCCUGGAAACAACCCCUCAGGAAAGGAAGGAAAGCCGGUCCUUGACUGUAAAAAAGUUGACUGAAUCCUAAGUACGUUUUUUUUAAGGAUAACACUUUUUUUCAUAUUCAUGAUUGGCCAAAAAAUCGUACUUGCUGAUUUGCAAUUCUCUGAACUGAAAUGAACGUCUCACGGUGUUAUUUCCUUUUAACCUGAAGUGCAGUUGUAUAUGGUCUAUGUGGUAAUUUUUUUGUCAAAUUACUCAUGACUGAUUUUAAUGCUCUUGUCUUACAGAUGUGCAACUCUACCGGACUGGGAACCAAUUGAGGAGGCCAAGCUAUGUGGACCGCGAUCUCUCUCUCUUUUGUGUGUGUGUGUGUGUGUGUGUGUGUCACACAAAUGCAGUUUUCAAUAUUGAGUAUUGUUUUUAGUUGUUUCUAAUUAAUAAAGAUAAUUAAUCUUUAAAUUGC
ensembl:lncRNA